rnacentral:rRNA from 1 species
AACGAACGCUGGCGGCGUGGAUAAGACAUGCAAGUCGAACGGGAAACCUACUUAGCUUGCUUUGAAGGUUUCUAGUGGCGAACGGGUGAGUAACACGUGAGUAACCUGCCCUGAAGUGGGAGAUAGCCCGAGGAAACUCGGAUUAAUACCCCAUGUGAUCGUAAGAUUAAAGGCGGCUUCGGCUGUCGCUUCAGGAUGGGCUCGCGGCCUAUCAGUUUGUUGGUGAGGUAAAAGCUCACCAAGACGAUGACGGGUAGCUGGUCUGAGAGGAUGAUCAGUCACACUGGAACUGAGACACGGUCCAGACACCUACGGGUGGCAGCAGUCGAGAAUCAUUCGCAAUGGGCGAAAGCCUGACGGUGCGACGCCGCGUGGAGGAUGAAGGCCCUAGGGUCGUAAACUCCUGUCAUCAGGGAGUAAUAGCUUGCGAAGUAACUGUCGCGGGCCUUGAUAGUACCUGAAGAGGAAGGGACGGCAAACUUCG